rnacentral:sRNA from 1 species
GUUGUUCGGUAGGUAAGGCUCCUACAGGGAUACGGACUGUUGCCGCGAAAUAGUGGAGACACUAUGAGUUGGUUUGAACAGGGUGCAUCGUUUCAAGGUGCAUCAUAAUACAGUUUCAUCGCCCUGCAAAGCUAAAGCUCAAACGAAC